rnacentral:tRNA from 2 species
GGCGGAGUAGCUCAGUGGCAGAGCAGGGGACUCAUAAGCCCUUGGUCGGUGGUUCGAAUCCGCCCUCCGCUACCA